CAGCGUUCUGCUGGGGCAGGAGAGAAAUACCUCUUUGUCAGCAAACUCCUGUAAGUGAAGUUCGUCAAGCUGGCAGAAUUUUAGAGGCAUCUCAUUUAAAUUAGAUCUGGCCUUUGUGAUGAUUUAGUGCAAACCAAACGUAACCCUGCUCUCUGUAGGAUCACCUGCUGUGAGAGGAGCCAUGUGGUAAGGACAUUCAAGCAGGCUUGGAAAGCUCCACGUGGCAAAGAACGGAGGCCUUUGGCCAGCAGCCUGCAUCCAUUCUCCAGCCCUGUGGGUGAGCGCCCAGGAAGCAGGCUCCAUCCCCAGCCCAGCCUUCAGAUGACUGCAUCUUGGCCGGCAUUUGGACUGCAACUUCAUGGGAGACCCUGAAUGAAAACACCCAGCCAAAUCUCUUCCGAAUUCCUGACCCACAGAAACUGUGAAAAAGCUCCUGGUUUUUGUGGUUUUAAAUUGCUAAGUUCUGAAGUAAUUUGUACUCAGUAAUAUUUUUUAAAUACUCAGCACUCAGUAAAUAUUUAUUGAACAAAUGAAUGAAUAAAUGAUUGAGUGAAUUAGACUAAAAGCAACAGAGGGCAUGGCCUCACACCCUCUAUUUAUUUAUUUACAGACAGGGUCUUUCUCUGUUGACCAGGCUGGAGUGGUGCAGUAGUACGAUCAUAGCUCACUGCAGCCUCAAACUCCUGGAUUUAAGCAAUCCUGCGGUGUCAGCCUCCUGAGUAGCUGGGACUACAGGUGCUCACCACUGUGCCCAGCUAAUUUUUUAUUUUUUGUAGAGAAGGAGCCUUGCUAUGUUGCCCAGGCUGGUCUUGAGCUCCUGGGCUCAAGUGAUCCUCCUGUCUCAGCCUUCCAACAUGCUAGGAUUACAGGCAUGAGUCACCAUGCCUGGCUGACACCCUCUGUUUUAACCUGAUAGGAUGCAUGUGCCACAGUCCUCUCCUCUGUUCUGUAAGUUUUAGAUCCUAGAGCAAUAUUUCUCCACCUCAGCACUAUUUUUCUUUGAGGUCACAUAAUAUUUUGUGGGGGAGGGUGGGUGGCCCUGUUCAUUGUAGGAGGAUGUUUAGCAGUAUCCCUGGUCUCUACCCACUAGCUGCCAGAAGCAACCCCUUCCUCCAACAAAGUUGUCACAACCAAAAAUGUCACCAAAUUUGCCAAAUGUCCCCUGGGGUACAAUAUUGCCCCCACUUAAGAGCUACUGCUCUAAGGUUGUCACUGAAAAGAGAGUAGAAGUACUCACAAUACUAGCUGGGUCCAGAGAUGCUAAAAAAUGAUACAAUGUUUUCAAAAUAUUUGGCUUACAAAAAUC
rnacentral:lncRNA from 10 species